rnacentral:lncRNA from 1 species
UUUUUUUUUUUUUUUUUUUUUUUUUUUUGUGGAGAUUUUCGUAUGUGUUUUCCAAUAUGAAUAGUAGAAGGUUGAUAGUUAAUGGAAUUGCAGAAGGGGUUUUGCGAGGAAAAUGGGGACUACGACAAGAGAGUGUUAUAGGUGGGAAUGAAGGUUUCUUGAAAGUUCGAUGGGAAUUAGCGUAAGCCGUAAGAUGAGUAAAUUUUAUGUAGAAAAGGUAAAUUAGUAUAAUAUCAUGUUAUAGCCGCUGUACUUUGUAUUGUUGCCGAAUGAGCACUGAACUUACAAACUCUGCCCUCCAUCCAUCUCCCCAAAAUGUCGUCUCCUAUUGGUACGAUGUGGCACGAUGGAAUCCGACUUAACAUUUCAUGGCAUGAUAUUGAACUUGUAAACCCACCAAACUACACAAGCACGCCCCAAAUCUUAACCCUCCAAUCCAGCGAAUAAACUUGGACAAUAGCCGGAUGAUUUGGACAAGAGCACAUAUGUAGGGGCUUUAAAG